UACAGAGGUCCCGAGCGUUGUUCGGAUUCACUGGGCGUAAAGGGUGCGUAGGUGGUGAGGUAAGUCGGAUGUGAAAUCUCCGGGCUCAACCCGGAAAUGGCAUUGGAAACUACCUUGCUAGAGGAUUUGAGGGGGGAUUGGAAUACUUGGUGUAGCAGUAAAAUGCGUAGAUAUCAAGUGGAACACCAGUGGCGAAGGCGAAUCCCUGGAAAAUACCUGAACACUGAGGCACGAAAGCUAGGGGAGCAAACAGG
rnacentral:rRNA from 1 species